UAUAAAUGCGUUUUUAUCAUCGAGGGUAUUCCAAGUAUUGGCACGUCUUACCUAUUCGAUGUACCUAAUACAUUUCACUGUCCUUAUGGCUUUGGUUAUGUCAAUCAAACAGCCACUACUGUUCUCAAACGCACAAAUUAUGUAUGAAUUCUGGUCCAUUUUUGCUCUAGUAUUUGCAAUCAGCGUUGUAUGGACUUUGGCGUUUUGAAUCUCAGUUAUAAUCAUUGAAAAAUUAAUUUUUGGUGGUGGCAGUUCAAAAAAACCAGUAGGCGACAAGGCAACAAGCAAACCCAUUGAUGUGACUGAAAAUAUAAAUAGUCAUAUUGGUAGCCCAUCAAAUUUAGAAAAUAGGAAUGUGGAAAGUGGUUUACAUCAUCGUUUAGGUGGAACAGUGAAUAAUCCAAAUGGCGUUGUUAACGCUGGCUAUGUUGAAGAGAAACCAAAACAAAGUGACAUGUCAAUAAUUUUUUCAUAAUAUUAUUAGAGAAUGAACAACUCUGUAAAUAUUAAUUUUAACAUAAUACUUUGAGACUGCUAGAAAUGUAAUAAUUAUAAUUUAAUAAUAUUUUUUAUAAUAAUUUAAUAAUAAAACCUAAUUAAAUAAUAAAGCAUAUAUGAACUAA